AUGCCAGCAUCAUACUUCCUGUACAGCCUGCAGAACCAAGAGGCGUACUACGCAAAGAGUAAGGGUGUGAACUGGAAGCUGGGAGAGCUGGCUUGAUUCCCUUCACCGGCCAUCACUGGAGUGCGUCACUUGAUAUCAAGGAUUUCCGUUUAUCAACUACGAAGUGAUGUCCCUUAGGUUGAUACAGCUAUGGAGAUUAUAGCUUUCAAAGUGUUUGAGAGGAACCAUAUUUUAUAAAUUCAACAUUGCUGACUGCUGAAGGGACUAAGACUGAAGCUAGAAGAUACCAAAAAAUUCAUCAACUGAGUUGGAAAAACAUUAGUCAGACUCUUGGCUGAAUCCCCUGUCUACAAGAUAGAAUGACUUCUGCUUCUUCCACCUUGUUUGGAUUUGCCUACAACACAGCACAUUAUGACAACCUAUGUUCAUUAGGCUGUCUCCAAGAAUGUUGACACAGGUUACAUCUAUUCCAUGGAAAACUAACUGGCUUAAAGUAAAAUUUUAGGUUAAUAAAAUUA
rnacentral:lncRNA from 1 species